UACAGAGGGGGCAAGCGUUGUUCGGAAUUACUGGGCGUAAAGGGCGCGUAGGCGGCCUGUUAAGUCGAACGUGAAAUCCCCGGGCUCAACCCGGGAACUGCGUCCGAAACUGGCAGGCUUGAAUCCGGGAGAGGGAUGUGGAAUUCCAGGUGUAGCGGUGAAAUGCGUAGAUAUCUGGAGGAACACCGGUGGCGAAGGCGACAUCCUGGACCGGUAUUGACGCUGAGGCGCGAAAGCCAGGGGAGCAAACGGG
rnacentral:rRNA from 1 species